rnacentral:rRNA from 1 species
GACGAACGCUGGCGGCGUGCUUAACACAUGCAAGUCGAACGGAAAGGCCCUGCUUUUGUGGGGUGCUCGAGUGGCGAACGGGUGAGUAACACGUGAGUAACCUGCCCUUGACUUUGGGAUAACUUCAGGAAACUGGGGCUAAUACCGGAUAGGAGCUCCUGCUGCAUGGUGGGGGUUGGAGAGUUUCGGCGGUUGGGGAUGGACUCGCGGCUUAUCAGCUUGUUGGUGGGGUAGUGGCUUACCAAGGCUUUGACGGGUAGCCGGCCUGAGAGGGUGACCGGCCACAUUGGGACUGAGAUACGGCCCAGACUCCUACGGGAGGCAGCAGUGGAGAAUAUUGCACAAUGGGCGGAAGCCUGAUGCAGCAACGCCGCGUGCGGGAUGACGGCCUUCGGGUUGUAAACCGCUUUCGCCUGUGACGAAGCGUGAGUGACGGUAAUGGGUAAAGAAGCACCGGCUAACUACGUGCCAGCAGCCGCGGUGAUACGUAGGGUGCGAGCGUUGUCCGGAUUUAUUGGGCGUAAAGGGCUCGUAGGUGGUUGAUCGCGUCGGAAGUGUAAUCUUGGGGCUUAACCCUGAGCGUGCUUUCGAUACGGGUUGACUUGAGGAAGGUAGGGGAGAAUGGAAUUCCUGGUGGAGCGGUGGAAUGCGCAGAUAUCAGGAGGAACACCAGUGGCGAAGGCGGUUCUCUGGGCCUUUCCUGACGCUGAGGAGCGAAAGCGUGGGGAGCGAACAGGCUUAGAUACCCUGGUAGUCCACGCUGUAAACGGUGGGUACUAGGUGUGGGGUCCAUUCCACGGGUUCCGUGCCGUAGCUAACGCUUUAAGUACCCCGCCUGGGGAGUACGGCCGCAAGGCUAAAACUCAAAGGAAUUGACGGGGCCCCGCACAAGCGGCGGAGCAUGCGGAUUAAUUCGAUGCAACGCGUAGAACCUUACCUGGGUUUGACAUGGAUCGGGAGUGCUCAGAGAUGGGUGUGCCUCUUUUGGGGUCGGUUCACAGGUGGUGCAUGGCUGUCGUCAGCUCGUGUCGUGAGAUGUUGGGUUAAGUCCCGCAACGAGCGCAACCCUUGUUCACUGUUGCCAGCACGUUAUGGUGGGGACUCAGUGGAGACCGCCGGGGUCAACUCGGAGGAAGGUGGGGAUGACGUCAAGUCAUCAUGCCCCUUAUGUCCAGGGCUUCACGCAUGCUACAAUGGCUGGUACAGAGGGUGGCGAGCCUGUGAGGGUGAGCGAAUCUCGGAAAGCCGGUCUCAGUUCGGAUUGGGGUCUGCAACUCGACCUCAUGAAGUCGGAGUCGCUAGUAAUCGCAGAUCAGCAACGCUGCGGUGAAUACAAUCGCGGGGCU